rnacentral:rRNA from 1 species
UACGUAGGGUGCAAGCGUUGUCCGGAAUUAUUGGGCGUAAAGAGCUCGUAGGUGGUUUGUCGCGUUGUCCGUGAAAAACCACGACUCAACCGUGGGACUGCAGUCGAUACGGGCAGGCUAGAGUUCGGUGGGGGAGACUGGAAUUCCUGGUGUAGCGGUGAAGUGCGCAGAUAUCAGGAGGAACACCGGUGGCGAAGGCGGGUCUCUGGGCCGAUACUGACGCUGAGGAGCGAAAGCGUGGGGAGCGAACAGG